rnacentral:misc_RNA from 1 species
UUUUUGAACUUCACUUGCUUUACUUCUUUGAACUCCCACCACUUUGUUUGAGCUACAAUAUUUUUUCUAACCUUACUUGAAUUGUUUCUAAAUUUGACAUCCAAUACCACUAACCGAUGUUCACUUGUUAAAGUCUCUCCUAUAAUAACUUUGCAAUCCUUGCAUAGAGUUCUAUUUGUCUUCCUGAUUAAGAGGAAGUCAAUUUGGUUUCUAUGUUGUUCACUUUUGAAAGUCACUAAAUGCGAUUCCUUUUUUAUAAAGUAGGUAUUUGCU